AUUGAACGCUGGCGGCAGGCCUAACACAUGCAAGUCGAGCGCGCGGCGGACGGGGGAGUAAUGUCUGGGAAACUGCCUGUUGGAGGGGGGUAACUCCUGGAAACGGUAGCUAAUACCGCAUACCAUCAGAUGUGCCCAGAUGGGAUUAGCUCGUAGGUGGGGUAACGGCUCACAGAGGCGACGAUCCCUAGCUGGUCUGAGAGGAUGACCAGCCAAACUGGAACUGAGACACGGUCCAGACUCCUACGGGAGGCAGCAGUGGGGAAUAUUGCACAAUGGGCGCAAGCCUGAUGCAGCCAUGCCGCGUGUGUGAAGAAGGCCUUCGGGUUGUAAAGCACUUUCAGCGGGGAGGCGUUACCCGCAGAAGAAGCACCGGCUAACUCCGUGCCAGCCGCCGCGGUAAUUC
rnacentral:rRNA from 1 species